CUUGACGACCAUAGUGCAUUGGAACCACCUGAUCCCAUCCCGAACUCAGCUGUGAAACGAUGCAUCGCCGAUGGUAGUGUGGGGUUUCCCCAUGUGAGAGUAGGUCAUCGUCAAGA
rnacentral:rRNA from 1 species